UGACAUCCCCCCCAAAAAAAUUCAUGUGGCCCUAAUCCUCUUCCGUAAUUAACCUAUUUGUGUUUUUUAUACAGAUUUUUUAAAACUCAAACAUCUUUUUGGUCAAUUGUGACAUCUGUUCUUGUUUGUAGUCAUUUUUGCGCAACCUUUCUGUUCCUCCCUAUGCACAAGCCCAUGCAUGUUUUCGAUUGCAAUACUCCACCCAUCUCCCAGAAACCCCAUGACUUUCCUCAUCUUACAAUAUACAGCGCCGGAAAAAAAUGAAGAGACCACUCCACAUUUUUCUUAAAUCUUUAUCUCUAUAUGUAUGGCAGCCAUUCCAAUGUCUGUUGAAUUCCAAAACAGAUAAAGGAUGUCAGUAGGUUUCACCAAUUCAUUAAACUUCAGUAAAGCUGACAUCUGUGCCGGAGUUUCUUUGAAAGUGUUUAACUGGAUGGAUAGUGCUAUUGAGACCUUCAAAUGUAUACCACUUCAGUAUUAUCAGUUCUUCUAGUUACAUUUUUUAUAGGUAUGUCUUUUGAGUUUAAUGUUCUUGGGUUUUUUAUUUUAUUCUAUAAACUCCUGGCAAUUUUCUCUGUUUUGGAAUUCAACACACACUGGAAUGGCUGCCAUACAUGUAGAGAUAAAGAAUUAAGAAAAAGUUGAAGUGGUCCCUUAAUUUUUUCCGCGGCUGUAUAUAUAUAUAUCAUUCAACUCAAAGACAUACAUAUAAAUAGUAAAACCAGAGAAACUGAUAAUGCUUCAGUGGUCUCAUUUUUUCCGGGGCUUUACUUCUGCUCAGCUAUGUUUCAUUUACCAAUCACUCCGUCAGAACGCGUUACCCGGUCAGUUGCCAGGUUAGCAAUGUUGCUUUGUGCCCUGAACACUGCCAUGAUUCUCGACCAACCACCUGAUAUAAUAAAAUUGCCAUCUCAAAAGCUACUUCACUAGCGUGGCUAAAAUAUUUGUUUAGUGCAAGGUGCAAAACGCAGUCUCACCUGGCUCGAAGUCUCGAUGAUGCAGACACAAUCUGAAGCCCUUCUCUGCUUCCAGUUUUGGCACCAGCUCUUUGAUGACCCAUGACUCAUCAUGGGUGUUGUAGGAGAUGAAGGCGUCAUACUGAUUAGGAGCUUGCUUGUUUUUAAGCUUUGUGUCAAAGAGCCAAGCCAGGAAGAUGUAGUAUGCGUAGGCCAGUUUCCACCUCAGGAAAUGGUAGGUGAAGGUCACCACCAUAAACAGGAGUGUUGUACAUGUGGUGGUGAUAAAGCAGAUGAAUUCGAUGUCCACUGUGCAGGAAUGUGCGUCCAGGUCCAACAGUUUCGUACCUUUAAGGCCUUUAGGAUAGUUGCACUCAAAGUUGGAGGCAUCAUACACUUGUGUUGAAUUGUAAUUAACUGCCCAUUGGCCAAACCAGACAUUAUCACAGUCACAGGUGAAACUAUUGCCCAUAAGAUCUAUGUAAACGAGAGCCGGUAGGGACGUUAUAACUUCCUUACUGAUGAUUGAAUAUGCAUUCUUUCUUGCCUGUAGAAACUCCAGGUUUUUAAGUUUGGCAUCAAUAAGGAAAUCUAGAGACCCAAGAGUUGUUCUAGAUAUGUAAAGGCUUUUAAGGUUGACAAUUGGUAAAAACAGAUCAGGAGAAAGAUCCUUUAGGUCAUUUGUGCUAAUGUCAAGUUCUUGCAGUUUAGGCGUGUAACUAAACAUGUCUUUGUGGAAGUACAGAAGUUGCAUGUUCCUUGCAUCGAAAUACAAAAGGUUAGUCAAACCUUGCAGAUAGUUGCGAGGCAGGUGAGACUUCAACCUUCUGUGUUGCGCUGGAAUAGCCAGUAUCUCAAGAUCGGACAGCUGAGAAAAUGGUGGAUCAGAAAUAGCUUUAUCGCUGCGGUAUUGAAUGUGAUUCUCCCUUAAAUCCAAUCUUUUCAAAUGUAUUAGAUCAUUGAAAGCACCUCUGAAUGUAUGUUCUUUUAAACUGUUUUUUUGCAGUAGAAUAAUAGUUAGAUUUGUCAGCCCGAUAAAAGAACCAUUUUCAAGUAUAUGAAUUUGAUUUUCAAAUAAUGACAAGUUCUUGAGGGAAUGCAAGCCUUGAAAGUCCCCCCGCUUAAUGGAGGUGAGUUUAUUUUUAUUCAAAUGCAGUUGUUGAAGAUUUGGUAAGUACAUUUUGAAAGCAUCUCCUAAGUUGUAGAUGUUGUUGUCCUCUAGCUUUAAGACUUGCAAUCCUAUUAAAUCCUUGAAAACACAUUUUUUUAGAGCUGAAAUUUGAUUCUGAUGAAGGUAAAGCACUCUGAGCCUUGUCAGAUUAGUGAAAUCGUGACACUCGAGUCUGCUGAUGUUAUUCCUUCUGAAAUUCAGCUUUACAAGUCUUGGUAGAUUGCUAGUGGCAACUGGAACAGAUACAAGCUUGUUUUGACUCAUAUCUAAGAUCCUUAAAGCUUGAACAUAUGUGAAGGCCUUGUCUUCAAUCUUAUUGGAUCGUAUUUGAUUAUGUGAUAAAUCUAACUCUGUUACAUGAAUACACCCCUUGAACAAAUCUGACCUGAUAAAAAAGAGGUUGUUGCUUUGGAGUUGGAGUUUGGACACAGUUGGGAUGGCGCAGGUAAGAUUGAUUAGUUUGGGAAGGCUUGUGCGUCUCAUGCCAUUCAUUUUCAGAAAGGUAAGUGAGAAGUUGAAGAGCUCUUCUAUUGUUUUCCUGUCAUCAGGAGUAAUUUGAAGCCCACUUAUAUCAAGAGUGGACACUUGACUAAGAAAAGUCUUACCAACUUCCCAUUUCAUCGGUGGCUUUUUAUAAGUACAGUCGAUGUUCAGCAAGGUGAGAUUUGGAAAAACAUCUUCGGUGAUACUAAAGACUGAAAAGGGAUUUUGAGACAAAUGAAGUUGCGUAAGUUUUAGUGAGCGGUUUGUCAUUUCCCAUGACUUGAAAUUGGGUAAAUUGUUGUCUUCAACUGAAAGAAUCUGUAAAUUUGGCAGAUGCUGUAUUACGGAAUUAAAUGUUGUUAUCUUGUGCAGUUUGUUGCUGGAGACUCCCAAAAGCGUCAAGCUUGUUAAGGACCUAAACGAGACAAGUCCAAACCUCCCACGGUUGCAGGAAUUUCUCCAGGAACAGAUUGAAGCGACUUACAUUCAUUCCAUGAGGUGGACAAUCCCCACAGGAGCAAUUGGGGUGAAGAGUCCAGGCCAUGGACACAACGACUGACUGCAGUGGGACUCGAACCCUGAUGAAGAAGAAGAAGAAGACUUUUGACUUUUAGAAAAACACUUUAUUACAGGUUUAGCAAAUGUACAUUUACAUCAAGUACAACACAACUCAAUUUACCUAGAAUAGAUAAAUAAAAAAGCUAAGCCUUAAA